rnacentral:rRNA from 1 species
GACGAACGCUGGCGGCGUGCUUAACACAUGCAAGUCGAACGGUGAAGGGACUGGUUUUGCUGGUCCUGGAUGAGUGGCGAACGGGUGAGUAACACGUGAGUAACCUGCCCCCUUCUUCUGGAUAACCGCAUGAAAGUGUGGCUAAUACGGGAUAUUCUGGGUCUGUCGCAUGGUGGGCCUGGGAAAGAUUGCGCCUUUUUUGGUGUUUUUGGUGGGGGAUGGGCUCGCGGCCUAUCAGCUUGUUGGUGGGGUGAUGGCCUACCAAGGCGGUGACGGGUAGCCGGGCUGAGAGGGUGGACGGGCACACUGGGACUGAGACACGGCCCAGACGCCUACGGGAGGCAGCAGUGGGGAAUAUUGCACAAUGGGCGCAAGCCUGAUGCAGCGACGCCGCGUGAGGGAUGGAGGCCUUCGGGUUGUGAACCUCUUUCGCCAGUGAAGCAGGCCUGCCUCUUUUUGUGGGUGGGUUGACGGUAGCUGGAUAAGAAGCGCCGGCUAACUACGUG